rnacentral:tRNA from 1 species
GCACCCUUAGCUCAGUGGUAGAGCGCUCCCUUCACACGGGAGAGGCCGUAAGUUCGAUCCUUACAGGGUGCA